CCUACGGGUGGCAGCAGUGGGGAAUAUUGCACAAUGGGGGAAACCCUGAUGCAGCAACGCCGCGUGAGUGAAGAAGUAUUUCGCUAUGUAAAGCUCUAUCAGCAGGGAAGAAAAUGACAGUACCUGACUAAGAAGCCCCGGCUAACUACGUGCCAGCAGCCGCGGUAAUACGUAGGGGGCAAGCGUUAUCCGGAUUUACUGGGUGUAAAGGGAGCGUAGACGGCUGCGCAAGUCUGAAGUGAAAGCCCGGGGCUCAACCGCGGGACUGCUUUGGAAACUGUUAAGCUGGAGUGCAGGAGAGGUAAGUGGAAUUCCUAGUGUAGCGGUGAAAUGCGUAGAUAUUAGGAGGAACACCAGUGGCGAAGGCGGCUUACUGGACUGUAACUGACGUUGAGGCUCGAAAGCGUGGGGAGCAAACAGGAUUAGAUACCCUUGUAGUC
rnacentral:rRNA from 1 species